rnacentral:rRNA from 1 species
CGUCUAUAUACGAUAGCAUAUCAAUAAGCGGAGGAAAAGAAACUAACUAGGAUUCCCUCAGUAACGGCGAGUGAAGCGGGAAGAGCUCAAAUUUGAAAUCUUCAAGGUUCUACCUUGACGAAUUGUAGUUUAAAGAAGUGUUUUCUGUUGGAGUUUUGGUAAAAGUUCUUUGGAAUAGGACAUCAUAGAGGGUGAGAAUCCCGUAUUUGACCAUUAUUUCCAACUUUGUGAUACACUUUCAAAGAGUCGGAUUGUUUGGGAAUGCAGUCCAAAAUGGGUGGUAAAUUUCAUCUAAAGCUAAAUACUGGCGAGAGACCGAUAGCGAACAAGUACCGUGAGGGAAAGAUGAAAAGAACUUUGAAAAGAGAGUCAAACAGUACGUGAAAUUGUCAAAAGGGAAGCGUUUGACACCAGUGUUGUUUUCUCGAAAAUCAAUUAAAAAUGGCAGGAUUUUGUGUUGUAUUGACUUUAUCAGCUUUCUGCACUUUUUUCUUGUCUUUUUUAAUGCACUUUUCGUUUAACAAGUCAACAUCAAUUUCUUUUGCUGUAAAAGGAGUCAUUGGAAGGUGGCUUUCUUUUCGGAGAAAGUGUUUAUAGCCUUUGGACUUCUGCAAUCGGAGAGAUUGAGGUCUGCAGCGUAGAUCCUUCGGGGUUAGAUGCAUUUGUGCUAAGUUAUAGCCUUUCAUAGACAACUUGUUGACUAUGAUCAGUCAUGUAGCUUACUCGCUUAUGUUAUUUUACCUACGCUUAGGAUGUUGACGAUCAGCUGAGCGCG